CCUCCCUAGUCAUGUGGAACUACUCCAAGGCUGAAGCAUCCUUCAGGUGCUUGCAAAACUGAACUCUCUCUAAGUUUUCCAAGAGAGAAGAUCAUGGAUACCAACUCAGGGGCUCUGUGACCAACUUUGGAGGCCUGUCCUGCAGUGCAGCUCCCAGUCUGACCACAGAUCCUAGGACCUCAAACUGUCUUCCUCCAUGUGCCCUCCACGUCUCUCUUGUGCUGGGAUUUGCGUGUGUGUUGGGAACCAUUCAGAAUGCUUUCUUGGCAUGUUGACAAUGAAGGGAGCUCUCUCUGGGCCAAAGCUUGCACUGGGUCACUAUCGGCCAAACGCAACCAGAGCACACCCACCCAUGGGAGCCUGUUGGUGGAGCCCAUGCAGUUUCGCAUCUGCACAAGGCUGGCCUCCUGCAGGCAACCCUUCAAGGCUGCCCUUUCCUGGGUCAUCGUAUGUUCAGCGUGAGAGAUGCCAUUCCAAAGGUUCAGAGCCGUGUGGCCUGUGGACUUGGGGGUGGGGGACACACCCCCUCCUUCCCUCAACCUCCCUCCCACCGCCUGCUGCCAAGGGCCGCCAAGAGAAAUGUGGGCAAACCACACGGACCACCCCAGGCCUCCCAAGGGCACUUGGGGGUGAUGCCAGCCCCAGGAAGGAGUCCUCAAUAAAGAUCCAAGGUGCUAACAAGAAGAUGUCAAUCCAUUAACUCCACUUGAAGGGAAGAAAAAAAAUGUCAAUUACUGGUAAUGUGAAACAAAAGAGUGGGAAAUCGCAAAUGACAGUCUUUUUAAGACGGCCCUAGGGCCACUUCCAGCUGACCCUGUGCAUUAACCAAGCAGGGAGAUUUUUUUCCUUGGCUGCUCCCUCCUGCGUCCCUAAUAGCAUAAAAUAAAAAGAUUUUAGAUAAGAUUUCAUUCUGUGAAUCAAUUGGCAAACCACACUGGGCUUCACGGGGCAUUCUGGUCUCAAUCUAAUGGAAAUUAUUAUUUUUUAAAACGGGAAUAUCAAUACUAAAUUGGAUCCUAUAGCAGACAGCAUAUACAAAGGUUUUAUAUCAGCUGGCUUCUCUGGCUUCCACGGAGCUUUGCUUAACCCAGUACCUGCCAGCAUCCCAGGGAAAGGAUGAGAGAAUGCGGUGGGAGAAAAAUAUCCCAAAUCCUUGUUGUGACAGAAUA
rnacentral:lncRNA from 1 species